UACCUCAUAUAUAAUAUAAUAAAAUUAAUUAAUUUAUUAACCCAUGGUUCACCCGCAGUCAACUCAAAAACCUUUCGGAGACCCAAGAAGUUAUCCGGUUCAGUGUUCGGGUCGGGUUUCAAAACACUGUUAAGAACCAAAUAUAUUAUCUUAAAUAUUUAUUUCUUAACUCAUCGAAUUAAUAUUAUGUGCAAGCCUCCUUAGUCCAAUGGUUUUAUUAAG
rnacentral:lncRNA from 1 species